UUCCCCCUCCGAUAGGAGAUUAAUUUCUUUACACAGAAAUCCAAAAUUUGAUGCCAGAGCAAUAAUAAUAAUGUAAACAAGUCUUUUAUUCUUUUAAUCUGGAAUGCAUAAUUUAAUGGCAUAGCGUAUAAAUAAUGAAAAUACCACAUCUACUUUAGACAAUUAAGGGUAAACUGAAGGUAACAUUUAAUGUAGUAUUGAUUGACUAUUUCAACAAAAUGACGGCAGACAUUUGUAUGGAUGCGAGCAGUUAGGAAAAUGCUACCAAAUAUAUCAAUACAGAUUAAGCAGGGAAGGGAUGGAGUAGACUUGGUGGCUCAGAGAACUGGUAAUGGAAUAUGGAGCCUUUCAUCUCCAGCACACUGAUUCAAAUCGGCCCAGGUCAGUCCGUGACUGAAAGUCAUUACCAUCAGAUGGCUCUUCAGUGAAAUGAGUUUGUCGUAAUGGCAGGCUGUCUGUGUCACAAAAUGCACCAUCUAUCAUGACUGACACUCUGUUAUGAUUUCCAGCUGGAAGGUUGGAACGAGAGAAGAUGGGCUCCGUAGUCUCUUCACCUGGGGAGUAGUGGAGGGUAAGGACUAUUUUCAUGGCUUGCUCUGCCGUGGGCUGUGCUGCAGAGGUUUUAAGAACAUGUGAUUUUAGUGACCAUGGUGCUGAACACUAACCUAGCAAAGAGCAAGAGGAAGGUACCUGUGCUGAAGAGACUGCAAUUGAAAUGUAAGGGAAGACGUGAACUGCCAGACAGAAAUGGUAAAAUUGGGAUAACUAAUCAGGCAGUAUCAGUUAGCAUGACAGAAGUAGGCUCAGCACACCAGCAGCAUCAGGUUGCAGUACAUAUCCUGCCAUACUUGAGUUUUUGGAUGGAUUUGAGUGCAAUGCUGUUACAUAGGGGAAAGCGCAACAGGGUUUUAAAAAAACAUGAAUGUAAUGAAAUCAAGCAUACUGGGUAAGUCAGUAGUGAGAAGCAACAUAUUAAAGCUAGGUGAAGAACAAGACAAGAUGGGAAUAAAGGCCUUAAAAAUGAAGGCAAACUGCUUACAGAGUCAGUGUACAGAUGAGAAACAUUGGAGAAAUACAAAGAGGGGAGUGACGGACAAAGGAAUGAGAUAAGGGGAUUAUUUCUUUGAGCAGCAGUUCUGCUUGGAUAUGAGCAGAGCAAGACCGUAUCUGUCAAAGCCACCAAAAAUGACAUUGUUAUGAAGUGACAGGAACAUAAAGACAGUUUUAGGUUGGAUGGGCAAUACUGUACCUUUCGAGUUCUGGAGAAAGAUAUUACCUGAAAAUAGCCUGAAUGUUAGCAUUAAUUAAACUGUUCAUUGGCAACAUUUGGGCUGAAAACCUGAGUGAGAGAUGGGACAUACCUUUUAUUGAUAAUGAGGGCAAAAUGAAUGUACUACCAAAAAUUAUUAACAUUCUUUUACAUCUUUGAGCUUGACCUGGAGGUUAGACAUACACAAGGAGAUACCAGGUUAGACAGUAAACAAGUUAUUGCAUUUUGAGGAGGUAGUUUUAUGUAGUUAGUUUAUGUUGUCAACUCGGAGCAAUGAUGUUGAACAUAUACUCAGCCUUCGAUCUACUGAGCUCUGAAAGUUCAUGAGCUGCUGCAAGGAGCUAUACAAAAGAUUUUUUUUUUUUAAAAAAAAAGGAAGCUUAUUUUCACGUAACUUUGACUGACUUAGCUCAACUUCUAUUCAAAAAUUUUUCGCAAAUCUUAAAGUUGAAAACCACUGCACAAAUGAACAAAAGCAGACUCUUGUCAGAUUGUCAGAGCAGCCUGAAGAUUUUGUGAAGAAGUGAAAGGUGGGAGAAACAGGAAGAGACAGUCAGUGAAAACAGCAGUCCAUACAUUUUCUUUGAAGUUUUGUAAGAAAAAAUAAAACCAUGUUACUUUAAAAAACACUUAGAUUUUAAAAUUCAUACACUCAAGAGAUAGGGCAACAAAUUGAUGAGUGUGCCAAGAUUAAUAAAAGGUACCAGUUAUUCCUCCCUGAUUGAUAUACAUUUCAGUUAUAGUUAUAUAUUCAGUAAUUCUGUUCCUUGUGUAUUAAUAUCCGUGACAGAUUACAAAUAUCCUAGGAUACAUAUACUCCACACGGGCUUCUUCUUAUCCUUCAAAAUGCACCAAGUCUGUAAGCAGUACUUGCUAUCAUCUGGAUGUCAGCUGCCUCUAUAACUCUUUGACCAAUGUGCAUGCUUUCUCUGCAGAAGCCUUGCAAUGGGAAAUAGGCAUGUACUUUUUUUUUUUUUUCCCCCUAAAAAGUGAGGAUUAAGAAUGAAGAAAUUCAGAACAGUGAAACUAAAAAUUGUGAAAAUUUUGCAGUGGUCAUAGAGAUCUUUUUCAAGAAGUCAUAAUUCAUAAUACAGAUUGACUCUUCAAGGUUGCUGGUCCUUGUACUUCAAAGAAUAACUUGGGGAUGGAAUGAGUAUCAUCAUCAUGUGAAACUACAUAGAAUUGAACUUGCGCUGAGUAUAUUUUGCUACAAUAUCUCACAAGGACAAAUUCCUCAGCAGUUAUUUGGGUAACACAAAACCAAGUAUAUGACUACACUUAUUCUGAUAUGUUUUCAUGCUGUGUUUUUGUUUUUGUGGUUUCUUUUUGUUUCUUUGGUUGUUGCGAUUACAUAUUCCAAAAACGUGUAAAAGCCAUGAUAGCUUUUCUGCACAUAUUGUAUUCAAGUAUCAAUACAUGUAACAACUGGUUUACCUGAACUGUAUUAGAACAAGUAAACAAAAUAUUUAAAUGUAUAUGGUUCUUGGUAAGAGUAUAAACAAAUAAAUUGUCAUUUCAAAUUCUGAACACACAGAAAUUAGGAAAAUCAGAGAGAAAGCCCCCUGUGGGUGUGACACUCUCAGUCCCACAGGGGCAGGUACCUCGAGAAGAAAAUGUGUUCAGUGAGCUGGUUGGUUCCAAGGAGUUACAUGCUGUUCAUUGUGAGGACUUUUGGCAGAAAAGGUACAAAAAACGGCAUGCAUCUCUUCAGCUGAAGUUAGGAUUGGCUGUAUUUCUAAGAAAUCUGUUUUGUUUCAGCCCUCCACUAAGCCUGCUACAGAAAUGACUGGAGAAAAUCCCGUGGUUUGGCACACAGGCCAGGCAGAAACUCUGAUGAAUCAACUUUUCUCCAGGCUCGUUCUCCACUCUGUAUUCAUGUCAUCCUUCUAGAUGGGAAAGUUCAGCUGGGUAGGGCUUUCACUUCCCAAGUUGCAGAGGUAAACAAAUGCAAAUAUUUCUUGUUGUGUAUCUUUACUCCAGAGGAGUGUUACACUUGAUUAUCAGCUGCCAUUUUGCAGGAGGCGAGGCACAUCCCUGCCAUACUAAUCAGUGAGAGUCCGAAGAGCCGAGGGCUGAUUGCCUGCACCGAAGUAAUGAAUUAUGUUGCAGAGGACAUGGUGGUGAAAGACUACCUGACAGGGCUAGUAAUUCAUCAUAUGUGUGGUUUUAGGCUCCUAAAUGUAAAUCCUGACUCAGGUGGGCUUCCAGUUAUGAAGUGGGAGUCCAAUUGCUUUGAAUUUUACCCACUAAGCAUGACAUUUCUCACACAGGUGGGCAAAGACCUGUCAGAACUGAGCGGCACUGACGUAUGUGGUUAGCGGGCAUGGUGGUGAUGGUUGGACUAGAUGACCUUACAGCUCUUUUCCAACCUUAGUAACUCUAUAGCUCUAUGAAGUGGGGCUGCAGGCACUCUGCUCGGCCGCACCUGCAGCACCCCCGUCCCACAGCACCGCUCUGCGAACUCCGAGGGGUUCCCAUGGGCAGAGUGCAAGCCACCGGGGCACCUUCAACAUCCACCUCCAGCCGCAGCAGCCGCGCGGCACACCCUACCCCCAGUCCGUCACAGGUCGCAGGCCGCUGCCCGGCGGGGCGGGCGGCAGCGGGAGGCGGGGCAGAGGCGGCAGCCCCGCCGGCACAGGACACCGCCCCGCCGCUGGAGGACGGAGGAGGCGGAGCUCUGCCGCUCGGCCCCAGAAGCUUUGACAAACUCUUCUGGGUGACAGGAACUUCUGACAAUUUGAUUUGAAUUGAAAACGAUGGGUAGGAAAGAUGCCUCUACAGCAAGAACUCCUGUUGACCAAUACAGGAAACAAAUAGAUUUUUUUAGAUGGAGAUUCCGAAGAGCAGAAGAACAGAUACAGACCUUGUGCAGUUCUGGAAUGACCAUGCUGCAUGCUCUGUCUGCUCUGUCUGUCUGCCUAGAAAGCUUUGACCAAAAGUCCAUGCAUCUGUUUCCACUUAUUUCAAGGAAAGCAAGAUUAUAAGAAAACCAGACCAAUGUUAAGAGCAACAAGAUUAAAAGCAGAGGCCAAGAAAACUGCACUAGGCGUGAAGGACACAAGGAAUCUUACACCGAACAGGGUCGGAUGCUCUGCUGUGACUGAAAAGCUUGUCUGAUAGUCUAGGAAGUUGCCCUUGUCCUUGCAGCUAUAUUGGUAUUUUUGUUGGCUUUCUAUGCUUUCUUUUAUCUUAACGUUUCCAAUGAAGUUGACCUUGAUCUGGAUCCAGAUGAAAACUAGCAGAUGCAAUGAAUCUAUCAACAAGAUUUCUUCAGCUUGAACAAGACUACGUAGGAACACAGUCCCUUCACUGUGAGACAGUAAACAAUGCCAUUUCUUGCAGUUCAAAUUUGUAAGUUUUGCAAUACAUCACUUCUACAUUCCAGAUCUCCAAAAUAAAAGAACACUCAUGCCCGGCAAGCAUAUUUGGUUAAUGCCAAAGCCAGGAGCUGCAGUACAAUGUGGGAAGUUUAUUGUUUACAUUAUAUUUUCUCAGGCAGAGAACUUUGAUGUCAAAAGACAGGUGCUAUUAUUAUCUUGGGUAUUGAUGCUGACUUCACAGGAGAAGAAUCUGCCUUGACUAAAUUUAGGAAUCAAAGCUUCCUAAUAGCCAAAUUAGGUUCUUUUUCUUUUCCCAAAAGAAAGUGGAAAUACCAUACAACAAAAAUCUUUUAUUGAUUUGUAUUUAAAGUAUAUCAACCCCUCCUCAUUCUUUGUCUCCCUUUUUAUCUUUCUUUUAAAUGUGUAUGCACAAAUGCGCACACAAAGAUGGAAGAAAUUGUAGGAAAAAAUUAUCUUUUUAGAAGCAGUCUGUCACCUCCUAUAUGGACUUAAUUUUAUGUCAUCCCAGAUUCUGUGUGCCCGUAUAUCUCCAGUAAUCUUUUUCAUUCUUUUGCCAACUGUUCAGCACACAUGUGUUCUGUCAGAAAUGGCACCUGGAUGACAGAAGCUCUAACAUUCGCAUAUGCCUCUGAAACACAGUUCUUUGCCUCCUGUGCUGUCUGAACUAGUGUAAAUAGAAAGUUCAAUCGAUGUUGGGUUUAAUUAGUGUGUUGCUCUAUUAUUAAUAUAAAGUCAAAGUUGUAUUUUAAUUGUACUCUUCCUGCUGGUUGUGAUAUCAACUUGUUCUACCUGUUAGGAGGGUAUUGUAAAAAAAUACAUAUUUCCAGUUAUAAAAUCAUUUUUAUCAUCAAACUAAUGUAUGAAGUUGUGAGUAUUAAGAAUCCUUUCAUGUAUACUUCUAAUAAUUGGGAAAAUAUUGGCUCCGUGUCAUCCUUUAGUUCUUGCAAAGUACCUUUUGGAAUAUGCAGUGUGGAUGAUAUUUCUGAUGCCUUUGAUAACCACAAGCAACGUGAAGAAGUCGGUAUGUCAAAGCAGCUGCAGGGAGCUGUAAAAUUCUGGCUUUACCCUGUUCUGCUUCAGCUUUGGCAUAUUACUGAGCUUAUGGUUAUAAAGGAUUUGUUUUGAUCCUUUGAAAAUGUGGUCAGUCUUUCUCUAGUCUGGUUUAUUUUUGAAACCAAGAAAAGCAUGGACCCAUUGCUGCCGAAUGUGUUAGGGAGUUAGGCAGUUUGACUUCCAGAAAAGUUGCCAUAAUUUUGAAAUUUUAUUAGCAAAUCAGCUUGUCUUAAUCUUAGCUACCAGUUUCAGUUUUAGUUGCAACUGUGGCAUUUACUGACUUGUUCUGGAAAUGCCUCACUGAGAUUCCAUAUAGUGAUUCUGAAGACAAGGGCAUACCAAACCCUAGCAUCUACUAUAAUGGAAAAUAUAUUUCUUUUAAAUUGACACAGUCCCAUUACCACCACUUAAGGAACUUAGAUCAAUAUAGUUAGUUUUUAAACCAUACAGUAACUAUGACCAUAUAUGCUACAAGUCUCUAAGGAUACACUUCUCUCUCAUACUCCUCAUUCACUUUAUGCAAUGCAAAACAACAACUCUAGAAAUAUAGAGUACACCAUCUUCCAAGAAGAAUAUGAAAGAGAAAUAUAAACAUAUACAUGCAAAUAUUUCUCAUUUUCUAAUUACGACUGUUACAGACAUAAAAUAUUAACAUUUAUAUAUUCAUGUGACUGAUAGUCUGCUAAUGCUCGUAUGGAUGACCAAACGGUUACUGACAUGUUGCAUUUAUGGCGAAGCAUUUUCUGACACAUGGCCCGUUUUUCAGUGGAGAGAAAAGCUUAUCACAAACUGUCUUCUUGGAUGUGACAUGCUGCUCGUUUCACCAAUGCCACACCACAUGUCACAGAAGCUACAGACCUCUCCUUUUACUUUGCAUGAGCAGUUUUCUUGCUCCGUAAAAUACGGGAAGGAUUGCUAAGUUAAUGUUUGUGUGUAGCUCCCUGGGUGAUACGUGGUCUGAGAAUGAUGCGUGGUUAUCACCAUCACGUAGGUUGUCUUGUAACUUGCUUUCUGAAUCAGUUACAUUAAAAAGCAUGCUAUUCCUACUGUCAAAUUUAUGAACAUGAUGUUCUUAGAAGAUCUAAUUUCCCAUAAUUAUGACUCAUAGACAAAAUCCAGUGUGCGUAUGUGUGUGACUGAAGCAGCUUUCCUGAUUUGUGGCGUAUCGAUCCAUGUUGCCCACAAGUGCCAUAGUUUGCAGCUUGUCUGUUGGCUUCAUUUCAGUUAGACCUUUUCAUUUACAUGAAAGAUACUCACAUAUAAUGAGAAAUUUUUCUGUUGCUUAGAUAAACUGGAUAAACUUCUGUUCAGUGUACAUAGAAAUACCUGGUAAAUAUCGCAGUAAAUACAAUGGUUCUCUUAUCAGUACAAUAAUUCCUAAUGGGACCAUGUCAAUAUUUUUUAAAGCUAAAAGCUUCUACCUCUCAUCAAAUUUUUCAUCCUUGGUUUUCUAAAAGGCACAAACACAACAAUAUUAGCAUUGAGGUUAUAUUUUGAGCUUUUUCAUUCAUGAAUAUCCUGCAUUCACUGAAAUUACAUCCGAUUUACUCCAAGGGGAUCAAAAUCCAGCCUGAAGUUAUUUCUGUUUUCUACAGCACUGUAGUGUCCAUACCUAUAGGUAUGUCUUGCAAAUAUGUGGUUUAUUUUGCCUUACUUAUAUCUCAGAUUGAAAUAUGCCUCCUCAUUUUUGGGCCAUCUAUCUUUGUAUGAGUUGCUUAGUGCUUGUUUUAAUAAUAAAUGGAUUUUUACUCUCUCUGUGCUUUUA